rnacentral:rRNA from 1 species
UGUGUGUCAGUGGAACGGUCUGGAAAGGCCGGCGAUACAGGGUGACAGCCCCGUACACGAAGGCACACAGGCUGUGAGCUCGAUGAGUAGGGCGGGACACGUGAUAUCCUGUCUGAAGAUGGGGGGACCAUCCUCCAAGGCUAAAUACUCCUGACUGACCGAUAGUGAACCAGUACCGUGAGGGAAAGGCGAAAAGAACCCCGGCGAGGGGAGUGAAACAGAACCUGAAACCGUGUACGUACAAGCAGUGGGAGCCUUCGUAAGAGGGUGACUGCGUACCUUUUGUAUAAUGGGUCAGCGACUUAUAUUCUGUAGCAAGGUUAACCGUAUAGGGGAGC